UGUAAGGGAAGAAGCAGCAUGUCGAAAGGAGGGCCUCUGGAAUGUGGAAUGUGGAGUUCCAGAGUUUGGAAGAGGAGACCACCAAGCACUAGUCUGAGUCUAGCAGGGGAAUCAGACAUGGCUGUCAUAGAGUUCAGGAAAUGAUGGUACAGAGAUACAAAUACAGGCCUGGAAUACAGUAGCUAUAUGAGAUGAUGGAUGUCAGCUGAAACCACUGUGAUAAUCAUUUCAGAAUACAUGUAACUCAGACCAUCAUGCUGUGUGCCUUAAACUUAUACAGUAAUAUAUAUGUCAAUUAUUUCUCAAUAAAACUCGA